GGGGGGCAAAAAGGGCAGUCGAGCGAGCUUGCCUAGAUGAUUUUAGUGCUUGCACUAAAUGAAACUAGAUACAAGACCCUUAAAGGACGGGUGAGUAACACGUGGGUAACCUGCCCAACCCUAAAAAGAUAACACCUGGAAACAGAUGCUAAUACCGGAUAACAACACUAGACGCAUGUCUAGAGUUUGAAAGAUCGUUCUGCUAUCACUCUUGGAUGGACCUGCGGUGCAUUAGCUAGUUGGUAAGGUAACGGCUUACCAAGGCAAUGAUGCAUAGCCGAGUUGAGAGACUGAUCGGCCACAUUGGGACUGAGACACGGCCCAAACUCCUACGGGAGGCAGCAGUAGGGAAUCUUCCACAAUGGACGAAAGUCUGAUGGAGCAACGCCGCGUGAGUGAAGAAGGGUUUCGGCUCGUAAAGCUCUGUUGGUAGUGAAGAAAGAUAGAGGUAGUAACUGGCCUUUAUUUGACGGUAAUUACUUAGAAAGUCACGGCUAACUACGUGCCAGCAGCCGCGGUAAUACGUAGGUGGCAAGCGUUGUCCGGAUUUAUUGGGCGUAAAGCGAGUGCAGGCGGUUCAAUAAGUCUGAUGUGAAAGCCUUCGGCUCAACCGGAGAAUUGCAUCAGAAACUGUUGAACUUGAGUGCAGAAGAGGAGAGUGGAACUCCAUGUGUAGCGGUGGAAUGCGUAGAUAUAUGGAAGAACACCAGUGGCGAAGGCGGCUCUCUGGUCUGCAACUGACGCUGAGGC
rnacentral:rRNA from 1 species